AUAUUUAUUUUGGUUUUCUUUUUCCUUUACUGCUCUAAAUACAAUCUAACAAUUAGUGCAAAAAUUUAAACACCCAGAAAUAAUAGAACCUCAUAUGUGCCUUGAUUCUUUAGAUAUGUUAGUUUUAAUAUAGAUGCUUUCCCAAGUUAUUACCUUUGUUAUUUCAAAGGAUUGUGAUUCAUGCCAGAUCUAUGAAAAAAUGACUGAUAGCAUGUUGGGAUUUUACUGUGUCUAUUUUACUAAACAAUUCAAUUCAGUUGUUAGAUGAAGUUCAAGUUUUACUAUAAAAAUUUCAUGAGCAUCCCCUGAUCUACUCUGACAUCUGAGGAGAUGGAAGAAGACAUUGGGGAAAAUGCUGUGGAAAAGAAUGACAGGUGAGCUGUGAGUGAGCAAGCUGCCAGAUAGGCUUUGGCAGCAUGAGACUAAAAAAGCAGGAGGAUCAAUGUGCCAUGAGAAGGUCUAGCCCACUUUUAAGAGGGUUAUAUUUGAAGCAAAUUAAUACUGGGAAGGCAGCUUGCAGAAGUACAGACAAAAUUAGAGAUUGCUGGCCUGCUAUCCGAAGCUCUAGUGAGAUGAACCUGCUACUUCUUUAAGUGAAGUAUGGAGUGAUGAAAAGGGUAGAGGCAUCAUAGCUGCCACAAUCCUCAUAUGAUAUUUGCUGUUUCGCACACCCUUGACUUCUCUCCUUGGCAGCUGAGGCUCAGGCUGAUGAGGACUGACAAAGCUGUGGCUUAGCAAAACAGCUACGGACAUCUGCUGAAGUGAUUCUCAUGAGGGAUGCUCUUUGGAGCAGUCACAAAAUUUUGAAUGAAAUCUGGGCUCCCAGUCAAUGCUGAAACUCCCACUGACUUGGAAUGGAGAGAAUCCUAGCAACUGAAAUCCAUCUUGAGUGUUUUGAGAUGAGGAUAAAGACAAUUAUUUGAUGUAAUCAACUCUUCAGAACCAUCAACUUUCUGCCACGUGAAGAGAAAAUUAACAUGGUUCUCUCUGCCAGAGUGCUUCUCCUAACCACCUCCUCUUCCUGCCACGUCUUACCAUCAGACAAGGAGAAACAGAAGACCAAUGUGAAACACCCUCAGCUUAUAAGCAAAGUGUAACUCAUGUUCAGCGAAACCUUCUUUGUGAAAACAUAGUUUCAUUUUCAAAUUAUCUUUUCAUGAAAAUGGAUACUUUUCACAAACACACAAAAGACUUCUUAAAAGAAAAAAAAACCAAACAAUAAUUUUCUCAUUAAAAAGAGCUGGGAAAAAAGUCUCAGUCACCUCUUUAGUGAUUUUCAGAAAAUACAGCCUGUCUUUACAUAGGUGUGGAUUUACUUAGCAAAAGAUAAAGAUAAGAAUAUAUAACUUUCAAUGUCCUGUAUUUUUAUUACAUGUGCUUCGUGCUAUAGGGAACAUUAAUGUGAAAAUCCUUCCAGCUCAGAAUCCACCUUUUGUACUACACAGAUGCAGAGAAGUAAAAUCUACAGAACAUCAAAUAUAGAUCCCAUCAGCCUCUUACUUUAAUGUAUCAGUCUGGGAAAGGUAGUUCUUUGAAGUGUUUUUCUAAAUUAAUUUUUAGAGACUUCUAACUAAUGUAGCUUUCUAAUUUGUGAAUUCAUUUGUAUUUGGCCUACCAAGAUGUUACAGUGAUAGUCAUAUUACCUAAUUCUUUCUAACUUUAGUUCUAUAAUGCUAAUUCUAAUCUCUUGUGCCCAUGAACAUUUUCUUUCCUCCUAGCAGUUUUUCAAGUAUAUAAUUUGUUUCUAAAAAAAUAUUAGUACUAAAUUAUUCAGAACAUUUCAUUGAAAUACUGAAAAUUCUUUACAAUGUCCUGACAACCACAAUAUGUACAAAUUCUACUUUUGUUUGAAACUUAGCUUCAUAAGAAAAAAUUAUGAAGACUCAUGUUUCAGAUGAAGCUGACUGAGCUGAAAGCCAAAGAAAAUAUAGCUGUUCUAUUUCCAGUCCUCUUGGUACAUUGAAAGCAUUUUAUUGCCAGCCCAACAGCUUGAUAGAAUCCUGAACAGCAGUGCCAUGAAACAUAGAUUACUGUUGCUGCUGCACUGAUCCAAGGUUGCUGCUAAAAUGAAAGUCUGUUUUUCUGUAUAGAUAUGAAGCAUUUAGGGGAAUGGUAAACAGUAAUGUAUAUUAUAGAACACAACAGCUCUUUUAACAGUUGUUCAAUGAGUUGGGAUUCAUGUCAUUUACCUCAUUU